rnacentral:rRNA from 1 species
GUGAGGAAUUUUCCGCAAUGGGCGAAAGCCUGACGGAGCAAUGCCGCGUGAAGGAUGAAGGCCUAUGGGUUGUAAACUUCUUUUCUCAGAAAAGAAUUAUGACGGUAUCUGAGGAAUAAGCAUCGGCUAACUCUGUGCCAGCAGCCGCGGUAAGACAGAGGAUGCAAGCGUUAUCCGGAAUGAUUGGGCGUAAAGCGUCUGUAGGUUGUUUAAAAAGUAUUCUGUCAAAGAUUAGGGCUUAACCCUAGAUAGGCAGAAUAAACGUUUAAGGUAGAGUUUGGUAGAGGGAGAGGGAAUUCCCGGUGGAGCGGUGAAAUGCGUAGAUAUCGGGAGGAACACCAAAGGCGAAGGCAGUCUGCUCGGCCAAUACUAACACUGAGAGACGAAAGCGAGGGGAGCAAAUGGGAUUAGAAACCCCGGUAGUCC